UACGUAGGGUGCGAGCGUUGUCCGGAAUUAUUGGGCGUAAAGGGCUCGUAGGCGGUUUGUCGCGUCGGGAGUGAAAUCCACUGGCUUAACUGGUGGCUUGCUUUCGAUACGGGCAGACUGGAGGUAUGCAGGGGAGAACGGAAUUCCUGGUGUAGCGGUGAAAUGCGCAGAUAUCAGGAGGAACACCGGUGGCGAAGGCGGUUCUCUGGCAUGUCCUGACGCUGAGGAGCGAAGUGUGGGGAGCGACAG
rnacentral:rRNA from 1 species